CGGGACGUGGCGCAGUUUGGUAGCGCGCCUGCUUUGGGGGCAGGAUGUCGCAGGGUCAAAUCCUGUCGUUCCGACCA
rnacentral:tRNA from 1 species